rnacentral:rRNA from 1 species
GACGAACGCUGGCGGCGUGCUUAACACAUGCAAGUCGAACGGAAAGGCGCGGCUCUUGCGGGGUGCUCGAUUGGCGAACGGGGGAGUAACACGUGAGUAACCUGCCCUUGUCUUUGGGAUAACUUCAGGAAACUCGGGCUCUUACCGGAUAGGAGCUCCUGCUGCAUGGGGGGGGUCGGAAAGUGUCGGCGGUUGUGGAUGGACUCGCGGCUUAUCAGCUUGUUGGUGGGGUAGUGGCGUACGAAGGCUUUGACGGGUAGCCGGCCUUGGAGGGUGACCGGCCACCUUGGGCCUACGAUACGGCCCAGUCUCCUACGGGCGGCAGCAGUGGGGAAUAUUGCACAGUGGGCGGGCGCCUGAUGCAGCAACGCCGCGUGCGGGAUGCCGGCUUUCGGGUUGUAAACCGCUUUCGCCUGUGACGAAGCGUGCGUGACGGUAAUGGGUAAAGAAGCACCGGCUAACUACGUG